rnacentral:rRNA from 1 species
UACGUAGGGUGCGAGCGUUAAUCGGAAUUACUGGGCGUAAAGCGUGCGCAGGUGGUUCUGUAAGUCAGAUGUGAAAUCCCCGGGCUCAACCUGGGAACUGCAUUUGAGACUGCAAGGCUAGAGUGUGGCAGAGGGGGGUAGAAUUCCACGUGUAGCAGUGAAAUGCGUAGAGAUGUGGAGGAAUACCGAUGGCGAAGGCAGCCCCCUGGGCCACUACUGACACUCAUGCACGAAAGCGUGGGGAGCAAACAGG